rnacentral:lncRNA from 1 species
CUGGUUUUGCAUGGAGAAGCAGAACAUGAUGAAGCAUUUUUCUCCCCCAUUUAAAGAUCCAGUCAUGUUCCAGUUUGCAGGGGCAGAAGGGCUGGUUUGCAGUUGGUGCUGGGAGGAUAGAGUUUCUUCCACAGAAUUAUCUCACUAAAUAACUCUCGCUAAAGCCUAACAAGACUUGUCAUCAAGCCCAUUUUCCGGAGGGAGAAACCGAGACUCCAAGAACUACAGAACCUAUUUCUGUGUCUCAAUACGUAGGCCGGCUCUCCGACUUGACGGAAUCGCUCUGGCAACAGCGCCCUCUAAAGGCGGAGGCGAGUAUGCCUGCGUAACAGUCGUGCCCCGUCCUUUGGCGCUGGAAAUGGCGGAGGGCUCCCUCUGGCUUCUGAGGAUUGUCCAGCGCGCCUCCGAGGUCCUGGAGAAGCCAGGAGCGCUGCCUACAACUCGGCCUUGACUUCCCCGCAGCCUUGGUCGCCGCAGCAUUGGGUCAGAGGCAUCCCUGGAGAUUGCAGAAAGUUAGCGGCGGCCCCUGUUGACGCAGCGAGUGACGGCCCGACAUACCCUGAUAGGCCACGGGGAGGGCCAGACGCAGAGCCUUGAAAGAAGGAGCUUGCGCUCUGGAAGGGGCGUGGCCAGCGCUCUUCCUCGAGGGCGGGGCUCUAGGGGAAGGGGCUCUUCUCUGGGAUAUUGUGCCACAAGCGAGGACACCCGUGCACCUAGCCCAGGGCCUGUGUCCUGGCGUCAGCGCAUCUGUGGGCAGCAACUUUACCCUCCCCAGACCUCAGUUUCUGCACCUGUAAGACGGAGGCUCUUCCACAACUGCAAAAAUCGGAGUUUCAUCCAGCAUUCUCAGAAUUCCUGUCUCCAGGCAGGCACUGAGGAAUCAGAGCUGCGUUCCUGUGGAGGCUCAGAGCUCUGAGAUCUCCUUCACUUGCUGCAUCAGUACUCCUGACACUGGAGAGUUCUGGAGGUUGGAGACCAGCCCCUUCCUGGUGGAACAGGCACCCUGUAGCCUGGGAUGUGACAGUCAUAUGACAGGGCCUGUAACAAGUAACAGUGGUAGCCCAAAUAUGUCGAGCACUUACUAUAUGCCUGGCUUUUCAUGAAGUCUGUCGCAUACGUUAUUUACACCCCCACCCGCACAGCCGUGUCUGGUGGUCCUGUUCUUGACAUCCUGUUUACUGAUGAGCCCAGAGUCACACAAUAGUAGCCAGUCCAAGGUCACCCAGCUAAUAAAUGGCUGAAGCAGUAGUCCACAGUCUCAUCCACUGUUCCGUACCAAAAAAAAAUGUUUAACCUGGAAGGGAGAUGGCAGAGGGGGAAAAUUACAAGAUCCUACCAGUGUUAAUCUAUACCACGAGUUGAGCCCUUAGUAUGUGUUGGAUGCUGGCCUACAGAUCAGCACCAUUUAUACUCCUGACAGUGACCUUAUACUAUAGGGUUGUUAUUUCCACUUCUGAGAGGUCAUCUCAUAUGUCUCUGGUCACACUGCUAGUACAAAACUGGAACUUUGAGUUUAAUGGAUGGUACACUCAGCCUGCCUGUAUAUCACUCUUAGGAAGACCCCACUCUUCUCUGAGCCUGUUUCCCGUUCUGCACAAUGAGAGGUUUGGACCAGAAGGCUCUGGACAUUGUUUCCUGAGCUCACAUUCUUUGAUUUUAGGAGCAUUGACAUGAUGUCCAGAGUCCUGGGUUUGUUCCUAAUUAUCUGUGACUUGGGAACGCCUCGGCCUAAUCCCUUGCAUCUCUGGGCCUCAGUUUCCCCCUUUGUAAAAUGUGGAGAUGAGAAAGUCUCAAUCACCAAGGGACCUUCUGGCUUUAAUAUUUUAUGACUGCAAAUGAAGAGACAAGCUGAGGUUCAGCAAAUUGUGCAUCCUCUGAGAAAUUCUAAUGAAUGUGAUUCUGCCACCUUGCUCAAAACAUUCCUGGUGCAAGGCUUCCAAGGACAGAUGCCCAUGUAGGUCAAGGGGAACAGCCACCUCCAGAUAAUCAGCGUUAACUGCUGGAGGAGGCUCACUCUCCUGAUGGUCCAAAAUCCACCCCUGUGGUCAGACCAGCUUAAGACUGAAUGCCAGCACUUCCCCCUGGGCACCUCAGAGAAGUGACCCUUUCUGUGCCUUAGUUUCUACAUCUGUAAAAUAGGGUGCUAACAGGACCAGCUUCAUUUGAGAUUUGAUGGAAAAACAUGUGCAAAAAGCCUAACAUGGACAUUCCCUGGUGGCUCAGUGGGUUAAGGACCUGGCAUUGUCACUGUCGUGGCACAGGUUUGAUUCCUGGCCCAGGAACUUCCUCAUGCCAAGGGUACAACCCCCAAAAAAAGCCUAACAUGCUACUUCUGGCUUAGGAAAACCCCCAAUAAAUACAACUGUUACC